UUUUUUUUUUUUUUUGGUGCCACAUCUGUGCCUUAUGCCACAGCUGCAGCUGCUGGCCAUAGCCAUAGCCACAGCAACUCAGGAUCCAAGCUGAGUCUGCAACCUACACCACAGCUGAUGGCAAUGCUGGAUUGUUAACCCCACUGAUGAGUGAGGCCAGGGAUCAAACCCGCAACCUCAUGGAUAUUAGUCAAGUUCUUAAGCCGCUGAGCCACGACAGGAAUUCUUCCUUUUCUGUUUUAAGGUGGAGAGACGUUCUUAAUUUUAACAUGGUUUGUGCCUUUUGUGUCAUGCUCCUAAGUCCGUUCUUCUCCACCAUGAGAUCAGGAAUAUGUUCCUCUUAUGGUUGGAAAGUGUUAUUUUUACACUCAGGUCUUUAAUCCAUCUGGGAUUUGGGUCUGACUGUGUGAAGCCCAGCUCCCCACUGCCUGGCAGUGUGACUUUGAGCAUCUCAGGACCCCCUUGUCACACCUGACAGAUGAGAGGCCAGGUUGGGUCAUCCCUGAAGCUUCUUCCUAACCUGCCGUUGUGAGGCCUCGGUCCCCCUCACAUCACCCUGUGACCAGAGUGAUGCUCCAGCCAGCAUGAGAGUAAAAUCAUUGCACUGAUUUCCACGUGCCCUGCAAAGACACAGCCGUGUUUGCACGGGAUUGGCUGCCCUCCCGCUUCUCUGUCUUUUUCUCCUUCACAAACAAAACAGAGCACUUCAAGGCAGGUUUCCCAAGGCCUCCUUCCUGGCCAGAACUUGGCUUUAAAUCAUUCCUCUUUAACAUUUUACUUUUAACGAGACUGCACAUACCCGGCCAAGGAUAGGAGGAGAAACCUUCGUCACUAGAAUUGUUAUUAAAACCAGAUAUCCCACUAUAUGGGCAUUUCUGGAAACUCCAAUCUGCAGGACUUUUAGGAUUCUGUUAAAAAAAUCUUCCCAACUUGCCCUGAAGGAGGCUCUGAGAGAUGCCACUGCUUUGCUAGUGACUCAUUACCUUGGUGGAAACACGUCUCUGAUAGUGAGUGGCUGGUGAUAAAAAACAUACACACAAGUAAUAACCCAGUUUCCAGGAGUUCCCACUGUGGCCCAGUGGGUUAAGAAUCCAACUAGUAUCCAUGAGGAUGUGGGUUCGAUCCCUGGCCUCGCUCAGUGGGUUAAGAAUCCGACAUUACCGCAAGCUGUGGCAUAGGUUGAGGAUGUGGCUUGGAUCUGGCGUUGCUGCGGCUAAGGUGUAGGCCGGCAGCUGCAGCUUCAAUUCAACCCCUAGCCUGGGAACUCCCAUAUGCCAUGGAUACUGUCCUAAAAAGACCAAAACAAAGAAAUAAACAAACCCAGUUUCCAGUUUUCACCCCGAUUGCUGCAACAAAACGGAGGGUGCAAGACUGUGUCAGACCAGUUUGCUGGGGAUGAUGCAGCCCUGUGGUGACCACUCAUGGGAGGGAUCCCUGAAGACCCUACAGAGGAGGGAGGACCUGAUGGGAAGAAGCUGAUGCUCUCAGGGGCCCCAGGGAUGGUGCAGGUAAGGAAACUCAGCCCGAGCUCAUGCAAGGAAAAAGGUAUGCACGUGAUCAUGAUGCAGAAGCAGGGCGGGGAAGGUUUUAAGGGACUCAAGGGUUGAGAAGGAGACUGGGAGGGAGUCUGGAAAGAAAGCCUUCUACCUAUUGGGCCCCAGGUUCUUCCAAGGCAGAGACCAGCAGAUCUCCCUUCCAAGUGGGAAAUUCCUCUGGAGAAGGAAUCUGAUAAUCUGAUUGUCUUAAGGUCUGGGAUGGUAAAAUAUUUUGUCAAUUGGACUGGGCUGUGGGGUGCCCAGAUGUUUGGUCAAACACUAUUCUAAAUCAGGGGUUUCUCAGAGGGUGUUUUGAAAGAGUUCAGUGUUUAAAUCAAUAGACUGAGGAAAGCAGAUUGCUCUCCCUUGUGUGGGUGGGCACCAUCUAAUCAACUGAAGGCCUGCUUAGCACACAAAGGCUGAUGCUCCCACAAGUAGGAGGGCACUCCUCCUGCUUGACUGUCCGCUUGGACUUUGGUCUUUUCCUGUCUUCAGAGUAGAGCUGAAGCAUAAGUCUGCCUGAGGCCUGCUGGCUUUCACACUGGGACAGACACUGUAAAUGCUCUGGUGGUCAGGAUUUCAGACUUGGAUUGGGGCUACAGUUUUGGAUCUCCUGGGUCCCCGGUUGACUGAUUGCAGUUCUUGAGACUUGUCAGCUUCCACAAUUACGUGAGUCAGUUCCUUGUAGUAAAUCACUGUGUGUGUGUGUGUGUGUGUGUGUGUGUGUGUGUGUGUGUGUGUGUCCUCUUGGUUCUGUUUUUUUGGAGAACAUGACAAAGGCAAGGUCUCCUGCUACCUGAGGCCCACCUCUGUGAUGAGGAGGUGGUUCCUAGAUAAGGGGACAUUGUGAGUUGGGCAGACACCCAAAGGGGUAUACAGUGGCCAUUUCACACCAGGAGCAGCGGGAGGCCCCCUCUUCUGCUGUUCCAGGAGCGUGUUGCCCAUAUAGCCACAUAACCGUAUGUGUGUGAGUGUAUCCAGUCUCUGCCUCCACAGGACCAGUGGUUCAGCUUGGGCACAGCCCUUAGGCUUUUAUAUACAUUGAACUCAUUCAAGGCUGAAUGAUGCUCAAGGGUGGCUUCUGAAUGAAUGGGGACUGAGGUGGCCAUCAGCACACAGAGCAGGAGGACCCCAAGCCACCCUGAAUAGUGGUGAUGAAAAGGGCCUGCAGGCAGAUACUCCUGUCCCCAGGACACACAUGGAGGCCACACCAUCUGCCUUUGCUUUAAGUUAAAGCACUGAGGUGUCCCCAGAACCUCCAGGCAGGUUCUGCAGGGUCAGGAAGGAGCUACCCAAUGAGACAGUGCAAGACUCCAGGGCAGGCUUCCUCCAAGCCCAGCAUUUGGGCUUUGUGUUGCUAUUUUCAACUGUUUUUGAGACUUGUAGAAACCAAAAGGGCCUCACUAAGGCUGUGAUGUUCUCUUUCACGCAAGACUGACCUGCGGGAUGAGUGACACCAGCCCAACCCCAGGGCCGCCUCUGGCAGCCAUGGGCAUGGCCCAGCGGGCCGUGGCUUACCUGGCACGGCUCCAGAUGGCAGCCUCACCUCUGCUCCCUUAUGUCCAGAACUCCUUGUUCAGAGCCCAGAACCAUCCAAACCACAGUGGAAGGAGGUGUCGGCAGGAAACAAGCAGACACUGGCCACUAGCCCUGCCUGUCCCCCCAAAGGCAGUACCAGUAGGCCCUGCCCCAGGCCCUGGUGAGCCACUUCCACCCCCCGGCCCGGUGCCUACUUCCUUUGGGCCUCUCCUGCAUUCUGUUUCUUCUUAAUGGGAGUCCUUCUCCUUCUCCCAUCAGUGUGUCUCCAUCUUCAUUGAAUCGCUUCAUGAUAUCGGCUGUGGUGUGGACCCUGGCGGCACUGGGUCCUGCUUUUUCGUCUCUGAUCUCAUGGUUCUGGAUGUCCUCGGACGCCAGUGUUGCAUAGAAACAGAACUUUGAAGCCUGGAGGCCAUCUGGUGAUCUCUGUGUGCCUCCCUUGACAAAGGUGGAAAGCUCUAGAGGCAUCCAGCAGUGAGAGGGCCAGACACUUAGGGGACCGGCACCUCCUCUCCAGGGUCCUCUCCCACGUUAACUGCCUCUCACUAAGCAGCACCUCGGUCCUACUCCCAGCACUGCCUUGAUCACAAGAUCAUGCACAUGAUCACACCAUCUGCACAGGAGUGAACAGUGUCCCUUUAAAUCCAUGUUUACCCGGAGUCUCAGAAUGUGACCUGGUUUAGUAAUAGGGUCUUUGCAGAUGUAACUAGCUAAGGGGAAGUCAUACUGAGUGGGGGUGCCCUUGCGCAAUGAUUGAUGUCUUCAUGAGAAGAGGAAACAGACCCAGGGGGACACACACACACACAUGCACACGGCCACGUGAAGACAGAAGCAGAGGUUGGAUGCAGCCACAAGCCAAGCACUACUGACCACAACCAGAAGCUAGAAGAGGCAGAGCAGGAGGCUCCCCUUGGAGCUUCAGAGAGGGCAUGGCCUUGCCAACACCUUGUUUCAGCUCCCAGAAAUAAGCUGAAAGUAAAUUUCUAUUGUAUUACUCAGUUUUUGGUUACUUGUGCAGCAGUGUUAGGAAACAAUUCAUAUAUUCACGUGCUGCCAGCUUGUUUCAUGGAUGCUUCUUCCUUACUGGUCUCCUUUCUUUUUAUAGCCACACCCACAGCAUAUGGAGGUUCCCAGGAGAAUUGGAGGAGCCACAGCUACAGCAAUGCAGGAUCCAAGCUGCCUCUGCGACCUACACCGCAGUUCAUGGCAACGUCAGAUCCUUAACCUUCUGAGUGAGGCCAGGGAUCAAAUCCACAUCUUCACCAACGCUAUGUCAGGUUCUUAACUUGCUGAGCCACAACAGGAACUCCUACUUUUCUCCUUUAAAUCUCCUUCUAAACCUCUCCCAGCUGCCCGGAGUGGACAUCGUUGGCCAGAAGACUCUCAGAAUCUCCCCUAGUGACCAAGCUGAAGUCCAUUUACUGAUAGCUGAAGAUGAGUGUCAAAUCCAUGUCUGUUCUGCAUAUGAAAUUCUUCUCUUAGUCAUGUCCCAACUGGGUGUUUCUUGGACCCUGCUGGAUAUGGUAAUUGGCACAAUGGGGGCAGGUGGUGUACGCUUGAGUUUAUUUUGAAAGUCAUAGAUUAAUUUUAAUGAGAUUUGAAAAAAAGUGAAAGUCGCACAUUAGAUCCACCAUUUCAUAGACAGUGUUGUUUAGGACAAAGCUAACUAAAAAAAGACUUAAAGUUGAUCCGAAGAAAAUUAUUACAUAAAUGUGGCAUGUGAUUUGCCAAGUGUGAGCAGUUCCAGGGUGGAAAGAAUAGUGUGCUUUUGCAGUCUGACAGUUUUGAGUUCAAAUUCUUUUUCCUACCAGUGCUGGGACUCAGUGACAAUUGAUGAAUCUCUGAACCUCAGCUUUCUCUUCUGUGUAAUGGGAACACAAGGCCUAAACUGGAGGCUUUGCUCUGAAAGACUAGGACAAAGGAUGGCUGAGAAUGUGCUUGGCACAUGGGAUGCUCAGAAAAUGAGAUGGUUCUCUACAAGCUCUGCCGUGAGCCCCCCGUGAGGCCCCCUGCAGCGUCCCCAAGGCUCCGACCUAUGGUCCAUGCCACUCCCAUCCUUUCCCGUCCCCACCAGAAUCCUGUGUGCAUCUUGAGAAGCAGCAGGCUUGUCCUGGUGAGAAGCAGAGGCCUUGUCAUGUUGCCUGGGCAACCAGAGGAAGGUGCACAGGCACCUGGUGAUGAAAGAUAGCUCCCUUUACUCCUAACUCCUGGGCCACCUUCAGACCUGGAGCCAUCACUCUGAAACCAUCCUGUCACUGUGGGGGGCUCUGGGAUGAAGGCAUCUCGGGUCACCCUGGGGGUGAGCAGGACAGAGAGAUGCCUGUUGCACUAUGAGGGCUUGCUGGAGCAUGCUUUCUGGAGAAGUCUGGAAAGAAGGCAGGUAGGCCUCUUGCCUAGACAAUGUUGGAAAUAUCCUCCUGUGGACAUCAGCCCAUGAGGAAGGGCUCAUCCAGAGGCCCCAGUGUAGUGUCUGCAGGGCCACCAACUUGUCCCUGUUGCAGUAUAUCAGAGUUUCUCCCUCCCAGAGCUGUAGGGAGCCCGGUCUUGUUGCCAUCUUGCCCCAACACUUUCCAGAUCCCCAGACCCACCAGGAUCUAAGUCCAAGAUCUCUUCCAAAUGUAAAUACUGUGCCCUAGACACUAGGCUUGGGGAGUACCUGUUCAAAUAAUACUAUCAUUAACAUUAUGGGUUUCAUUUGAUGUAUUUGUGAACUUUGGGUCAGGCAAAUAUCUGAUAUUAAUUUGAUAUUAAUUAAGAUUUAUUUUGGAGUUCCAGUUGUGGAAAAGGACCUGACAUAGUGUUUAUGAGGACACCAGUUCAAUCCCUGGCCUCACUCUGUGGGUUAAGGACCUGGCAUUACCGUGUGCUGUGGUGCAGGUCGCAGAUGUAGCUCAGAUCUGGUGUUGCUGUGGCUGUGCCGUAGGCCAGCAGCUGCAGGUCUGAUUCAACCCCUAGGCUGGGAAUUUUCAUAGGCCACACCUGUGGCCCUAAAAAGAAAAAAAGAUUUAUUUUAUUGUGGUAAAAUGUACACACAAUAAAAUUUACAAUUUUAACUUGUUUCAAGGGUAUAGUUCAUACUAUGAUUUCUGGGCCUUCCCUUCGUGGCUGCUCAGUGGUUAACAAACCCGACUAGGAUCCAUGAGGAUGUGAGUUUGAUCCCUGGCCUUGCUCAGUGGGUUAAGGAUCCAGCGUUGCUAUGAGCUGUGGCAUAGGUCACUGACACGGCUCAGAUCCUGUGUUGCUAUGGCUGUGGUGUAGGCCAGUGGCUACAGCUCUGAUUUGACCCUUAGCCUGGGAACCUCCACAUGCUGCAUGUGCAACCUUUAAAAAAAAAAAAAAAGAAAAAAAAA
ensembl:lncRNA